rnacentral:rRNA from 1 species
AAACGACUCUCGGCAACGGAUAUCUCGGCUCUCGCAUCGAUGAAGAACGUACGAAAUGCGAUACUUGGUGUGAAUUGCAAAUCCCGUGAACCAUCGAGUCUUUGAACGCAAGUUGCGCCCCAAGCCUUCUGGCCGAGGGCACGUCUGCCUGGGUGUCAC